GGUCAGUCACCAACAAAUAGCUUUCUGUCCAUGCCCAGGAGCUGCAUAGCCUCGAGGUGACCGGCCAGGAGACUGUGGCCCAGAUCGAGGCUCAUGUAGCCUCGCUGGAGGGCAUCGCUUCAGAUCGAGUCAUGCUCUUACCAGGCACGCCCUAGAAGGAUGAGGCUGCCCUGCGCCUCGUGGGGUGGAGCUCUGUCCACUCUGGAAGUAGCCGGACACGUGCUUGGAGGUCAAGUCCAUGGUGCCCUGGCCCACGCUGGAAAAGUAAGAGGUCAGAUCCCCAAGAUGGCCAGAAAGGAGCAAAAGAAGA